UCAAGGAGCAGCCAAGGGCCAACCAAGGAUCAACCAAGGACCAAUUAAGGAGCAGCCAUGGACCAACCAAAGACCAGCGAUGGACUAGACAAGGAACAUCCAAGGUAAGUGGGGACUAACCAAGGACCGAUUAAUGAGCAGCCAGGGGUCAACCAAGGACCAACCAAGGACCGUUUAACGAGCAGCCAAGGACUGGCUAAGGACCAACAAAGGACCAACCAAGGACCAGCCCAGGACCGGCCGUGGACAAGGCAAGGACCAAUCAAGGAGCACCGAAGGACCAAUCAAAGAAAAACCAUGGACCACCCAAUUACCAUCCAAGGAAAAUCAAGAACUGGUUUACGUAAGGUUUUCUUGGAGACGCCGCAGGCAGCUCGGUAAAACAACAGACCGCUAUAAUUUAAUGGAUCUAAUGGAUGAUCACUUUUAUAUGAUUGACCUACAGCUGUUUAAGGGAAGUUAAAGCCAUGCAGCGCUGCAGCAGUGAGGCGUUCAGAAAUCAGUCAUCACCAACUCAGGAGAAAAAGACUUGUCAGACACCGACCUGGAAACAGCGAUCCUAUCAUCAAUAAACAAGGUUGGGUCGAAGUUAUGGAAGAAAAGUCAUGACAGAAUUCCUGUCAUCAGUGGGUGUUUGAGCAGGUGAGACUCGAGUGGGAAAGAUUCUCAGAGGUGCACCAGCCAUAUAAUGAACUGCAUCACCAGAACCUGUGAGUGGAAAGAACAUGCCAGAGGUCAAUAAUGGGAUAAACUAACCCCUUAAACAGGCCCUAAUCCACCUUCUGGGUCAGGGUUACUUGAUAUGCAGGAUGACCUUAACAAAUUGUGUCCACCCUGGCCUGUCUAUGAGUCAGAUAGGACUUGGCAGAGUUGUGCAGUCCUGCAAUUCCCAUAGGAUACUAGGCAGAGGGAUCCCAAAUCAACUUGCAGUUGCGAGAUGCCCAGCAAGAAUUCCAGCAGAGCAGUUGCCCGAUGCUGCUGAAGCACCAUGGAUGUAUGAACAGGAGCUGCCUGACUUGCAGGAGCUGGUGUCCUCCCUGACUUGGGGAUCUGCCUUUGGCUCUGACCCAUUUUCACCAGAGGGAGAAUGAUGCCGUGCUGAGCAGCUAUUUGAAGAGAGGU